rnacentral:rRNA from 1 species
ACGAGACGACGCUGGCGGCGUGCCUAACACAUGCAAGUCGAGCGAGGAGAUCCUUCGGGAUGAUCCUAGCGGCGGACGGGUGAGUAACACGUGGGCAACCUGCCUCAUAGAGAGGAAUAGCCUUCCGAAAGGGAGAUUAAUACCUCAUAACAUUGCAGUUUCGCAUGGAACAGCAAUUAAAGGAGUAAUCCGCUAUGAGAUGGGCCCGCGGCGCAUUAGCUAGUUGGUGAGGUAACGGCUCACCAAGGCGACGAUGCGUAGCCGACCUGAGAGGGUGAUCGGCCACAUUGGGACUGAGACACGGCCCAGACUCCUACGGGAGGCAGCAGUGGGGAAUAUUGCACAAUGGGGGAAACCCUGAUGCCAGCAACGCCGCGUGAGUGAUGACGGCCUUCGGGUUGUAAAGCUCUGUCUUCAGGGACGAUAAUGACGGUACCUGAGGAGGAAGCCACGGCUAACUACGUGCCAGCCGCGGC